rnacentral:rRNA from 1 species
AGAAUCAACGCUGGCGGCGUGCCUAACACAUGCAAGUCGAACGAGAAAGUGGAGCAAUCCAUGAGUACAGUGGCGUACGGGUGAGUAACACGUGACUACCUACCCUCGAGUGGGGAAUAACCUCGGGAAACCGGGGCUAAUACCGCAUAAUGUCUUCGGACCAAAUGCGUAAGCAGCUUGAGGAGGGGGUCGCGGCCGAUUAGCUAGUUGGUGAGGUAAUGGCCCACCAAGGCAAUGAUCGGUAGCCGGCCUGAGAGGGCGCACGGCCACACUGGAACUGAAACACGGUCCAGACUCCUACGGGAGGCAGCAGUGGGGAAUUUGCGCAAUGGGGGAAACCCUGACGCAGCAACGCCGCGUGGAGGAUGAAGCCCCUUGGGGUGUAAACUCCUUUCGAUCGGGACGAUUAUGACGGUACCGGAUGAAGAAGCACCGGCUAACUCUGCGCCAGCAGCCGC